rnacentral:rRNA from 1 species
UACGGAGGGUGCAAACGUUGUUCGGAAUUACUGGGCGUAAAGGGUCUGUAGGUGGCCAACUAAGUCAGACGUGAAAUCCCUCAGCUUAACUGGGGAAUCUGCGUCUGAUACUGGAUGGCUUGAGUGUGGGAGAGGAAUGCGGAAUUCCAGGUGUAGCGGUGAAAUGCGUAGAUAUCUGGAGGAACACCGGUGGCGAAGGCGGCAUUCUGGACCAUAACUGACACUGAGAGACGAAAGCCAGGGGAGCAAACGGG